AAACCAGCACCUCAAGUGGUCAGGAGGAUUAUUGGGCCUAAAGCAUCCGUAGCCGGCUCUGUAAGUUUUCGGUUAAAUCUGUACGCUCAACGUACAGGCUGCUGGGAAUACUGCAGAGCUAGGGAGUGGGAGAGGUAGACGGUACUCGGGAGGAAGUGGUAAAAUGCUUUGAUCUCUCGAUGACCACCUGUGGCGAAGGCGGUCUACCAGAACACGUCCGACGGUGAGGGAUGAAAGCUGGGGGAGCAAACCGGAUUAGAAACCCGAGUAGUCC
rnacentral:rRNA from 1 species